GAUAAUGAAAUGUAAUUAUAAAUAUGUAUAUGUAAAGGUGGCAAAAUAAAGAAUGAAAGGCAAAACAAUGGUUUGACACAUAUCCCAUUUGCUUGUAAGAUUGUGAAGCCAUGCAAGAGAAGAAAACGUGAAGUGGCGGUGAUGGCGUGUAUUAUUGAUAAUUCUCUGAAGAAAAUGGCGUUGGCCCCUCAUAGAAGAAUCUGACAUGAAACAACAAAAAAAUACAGAGAAAACACAAGGAAAAGGCGAGUGCAGAAGAAAUAAGACUGUAGUUUUUAUUUCUUCUAUUUUGCAAAAGUUACACCGAUAGUUGUGAAGUGAAUAUUGAAAGCCAAUCACAGUAGAGAAAAGAUGUUUCAACUGUUUGUCGGCACAACAACAAAAAAGUGUCAGGUUUUGGAUUGUCGGUUGUCACAUUUGGUGAAUGUUAAGAAGGAUGUCGAUUUAAGGAAUUUAUGACGUGAAUAUUUUAUGUUAAAAAGGGUG